AGUGAACGCUGGCGGUAGGCCUAACACAUGCAAGUCGAACGGCAGCACAGUAAGAGCUUGCUCUUACGGGUGCCGAGUGGCGGACGGGUGAGGAGUACAUCGGAAUCUACUUUUUCGUGGGGGAUAACGUGGGGAAACUUACGCCAAUACCGCAUACGACCUACGGGUGAAAGCAGGGGAUCUUCGGACCUUGCGCGAUCCAAUGAGCCGAUGUCGGAUUAGCUAGUUGGCGGGGUAAAGGCCCACCAAGGCGACGAUCCGUAGCUGGUCUGAGAGGAUGAUCAGCCACACUGGAACUGAGACACGGUCCAGACUCCUACGGGAGGCAGCAGUGGGGAAUAUUGGACAAUGGGCGCAAGCCUGAUCCAGCCAUACCGCGUGGGUGAAGAAGGCCUUCGGGUUGUAAAGCCCUUUUGUUGGGAAAGAAGAGCAGCAGGUUAAUACCCCGCUGUUCUGACGGUACCCAAAGAAUAAGCACCGGCUAACUUCGUG
rnacentral:rRNA from 1 species